UAAGCGGAGGAAAAGAAACUAACAAGGAUUCCCCUAGUAACGGCGAGUGAAGAGGGAAGAGCCCAAGUUUGAAAGCUGGCGUCUUCGGCGUCCGCAUUGUAAACUCGAGAAGCGUUUUCCGCGCCGGACCAAGCUCAAGUCCCUUGGAAUAGGGCAUCAUAGAGGGUGAGAGUCCCGUACUUGGCUUGGAGUCCCCGGGGCUUUGUGAUACGCUCUCCAAGAGUCGAGUUGUUUGGGAAUGCAGCUCAAAAUGGGUGGUAAAUGCCAUCUAAGGCUAAAUAUCGAGGAGAGACCGAUAGCGAACAAGUACCGUGAGGGAAAGAUGAAAAGAACUUUGGAAAGAGAGUUAAACAGUACGUGAAAUUGCCGGAAGGGAAGGGUAGGGAGUCAGAUAUGCUGUGCGGAUUCAGCCUUGUCUUUGGACUUGGUGUAUUUUCGUAUUGGCAGGCCAGCAUCGGUUUGUGCCGCUGGAUAUAGGCUUGGGGAAUGUGGCUUUGUCUUCGGUCAAAGUGUUAUAGCCCCUUGCUGAGUACAGCGGCAUGGACCGAGGCACGCAGCGCACCCUCUGGGCGGGCCCUCGGGCACCUUUGCGCUUAGGAUGCUGGCUUAAUGGCUCUCUGCCACCCGUCUUGA
rnacentral:rRNA from 1 species